UACAGAGGUCCCAAGCGUUGUUCGGAUUCACUGGGCGUAAAGGGUGCGUAGGUGGUCGGGUAAGUCUGAUGUGAAAUCUCCGAGCUUAACUCGGAAAUGGCAUUGGAUACUAUUCGGCUAGAGGGUUUGAGGGGGGACUGGAAUACUUGGUGUAGCAGUGAAAUGCGUAGAUACCAAGUGGAACACCAGUGGCGAAGGCGAGUCCCUGGAAAACUCCUGACACUGAGGCACGAAAGCUAGGGGAGCAAACAGG
rnacentral:rRNA from 1 species